rnacentral:snRNA from 1 species
CUGGCUUCAGGACAGACUAAAAUUAAAAUGGUAUACAGAAGAUUACCUGGCCCAAGCACGGAUGACAUGCAAAUUUGAGAAGUAUUCCAUAUUCUU